UAAAUUUAUGAAAAAAUUACUAGAGAUAGGUAUAGGCAUGAAAUAUAUUCAUACCAAAUCUUAAGUUAAAACUCAACUUCAUUUGAGAGAACUUUUCUCAAAUGAAGUUGAGUUUUAACUUAAGAUUUGGUAUGAAUGAAUUUCAUGUAUAUACCUAUCUCUAGUAAUUUUUUCAUGAAUUUA
rnacentral:pre_miRNA from 1 species